GGAGAGAGAGGAAGAGAAAAAGAAACAGACAAAUUGUCGUUUCAAUGAGACGUGUCAUGUGAUCGCAUUCUCUUGAUUGACGACAUCUGUGUUGCCUCAUUUCUUUCUUUCUUUCUUUCUUUCUUUCU
rnacentral:ribozyme from 11 species